rnacentral:rRNA from 1 species
AUUGAACGCUGGCGGCAGGCCUAACACAUGCAAGUCGAGCGGAUGAAGGGAGCUUGCUCCUGGAUUCAGCGGCGGACGGGUGAGUAAUGCCUAGGAAUCUGCCUGGUAGUGGGGGAUAACGUCCGGAAACGGGCGCUAAUACCGCAUACGUCCUGAGGGAGAAAGUGGGGGAUCUUCGGACCUCACGCUAUCAGAUGAGCCUAGGUCGGAUUAGCUAGUUGGUGGGGUAAAGGCCUACCAAGGCGACGAUCCGUAACUGGUCUGAGAGGAUGAUCAGUCAACCUGAAACGUGAACCCGGUCCAGACUCCUAGGGGGGGCAGAGGGGGGAAAUUUUGGAAAAGGGGGGAAAGCCUGAUCCAGCCAGGCCGGGUGUGUGAAGAAGGUCUGCGGUUUGUAAAGCACUUUAAGUUGGGAGGAAGGUCAGUAAGUUAAAACCUGGCUGUUUGGACGUUACCAACAGAAUAAGCACCGGCUAACUUCGU